GGCCUGAUUGCUCAACCGGAAGAGCACUGCACCAGUAUCGCAGAGGUCAGGGUUCGAAUUCCGGUUCAGGCCU
rnacentral:tRNA from 1 species